rnacentral:rRNA from 1 species
GAUGAACGCUGGCGGCGUGCCUAAUACAUGCAAGUCGAGCGGUAAGGCCUCUUCGGAGGUACACGAGCGGCGGACGGCUGAGUAACACGUAGGAACAUACCCCAAUGUGAGGGAUAACUGCUCGAAAGAGUAGCAAAUACCGACUGUGGUCUUCGGAUUAAAGCUUCGGCGCUUUGGGACUGGCCUGCGUCUGAAUAGCUAGAUGGUGAGGUAAAGGCUCGCAAUGGCGACGAUCAGUAGCUGGUCUGAGAGGAUGAUCAGCCAGACUGGGACUGAGAAACGGCCCAGACUCCUACGGGAGGCAGCAGUAGGGAAUAUUGCACAAUGGGGGAAACCCUGAUGCAGCCAUGCCGCGUGUGUGAAGAAGGCCUUCGGGUUGUAAAGCACUUUCAGCGAGGAGGAAAGGUCAGUAGCUAAUAUCUGCUGACUGUGGCGUUACUCGCAGAAGAAGCACCGGCUAACUCCGUGCCAGCAGCCGCCGUAA